CCUACGGGUGGCAGCAGUGAGGAAUAUUGGUCAAUGGACGAGAGUCUGAACCAGCCAAGUAGCGUGAAGGAUGACUGCCCUAUGGGUUGUAAACUUCUUUUAUAUGGGAAUAAAAUGUUCCACGUGUGGGAUUUUGUAUGUACCAUAUGAAUAAGGAUCGGCUAACUCCGUGCCAGCAGCCGCGGUAAUACGGAGGAUCCGAGCGUUAUCCGGAUUUAUUGGGUUUAAAGGGAGCGUAGGCGGAUGGUUAAGUCAGUUGUGAAAGUUUGCGGCUCAACCGUAAAAUUGCAGUUGAAACUGGCAGUCUUGAGUACAGUAGAGGUGGGCGGAAGUCGUGGUGUAGCGGUGAAAUGCUUAGAUAGCACGCAGAACUCCGAUUGCGAAGGCAGUUCACUGGACUGCAACUGACACUGAGGCUCGAAAGUGUGGGUAUCAAACAGGAUUAGAUACCCGGGUAGUC
rnacentral:rRNA from 1 species